rnacentral:tRNA from 1 species
GACAUGUUAGUUUAAUGGUAAAAUGAUGUGCUUGGCCCACAUUGUUAUAAGUUUAAGUCUUAUGCAUGUUA